UUAGAGUUUGAUCCUGGCUCAGGAUUAACGCUGGCGGCAUGCCUAAUACAUGCAAGUCGAACGGAAAAUAUAGAAGUGCUUGCACAUUUAUAUUUUUAGUGGCGAACGGGUGAGUAAUAUAUAGAUAACCUACCUUCCAGUUGGGGAUAACAGAGGGAAACUUCUGCUAAUACCGAAUAUGAUAAAGAAACACAAGUAAUUUUAUUGAAAGGGGCUCCAAAGCCCCGCUAGAAGAGGGGUCUAUAUCGCAUUAGCUAGUUGGUAAGAUAACAGCCUACCAAGGCGAUGAUGCGUAGCUGUACUGAGAGGUAGAACAGCCACAUUGGGACUGAGAUACGGCCCAAACUCCUACGGGAGGCAGCAGUAGGGAAUUUUCGGCAAUGGGGGGAACCCUGACCGAGCAAUGCCGCGUGAUUGAAGACGGUCUUCGGACUGUAAAGAUCUGUUAUUAGGGAAGAAUUUUUACUUUAGGAAAUGGAAGUAAAUUGACGGUGCCUAAUGAGGAAGCCCCGGCUAACUAUGUGCCAGCAGCCGCGGUAAUACAUAGGGGGCAAGCGUUAUCCGGAAUUAUUGGGCGUAAAGGGUACGUAGGCGGGCUUGCAAGUCUGAUUUGAAAGCACAUGGCUUAACCAUGUGAGGUAAUUAGAAACUACGAGUCUAGAGAGUGGUAGAGGUAAAUGGAAUUCCAAGUGGAGCGGUGAAAUGCGUAGAGAUUUGGAGGAACACCAGUGGCGAAGGCGGUUUACUGGGCCACAUCUGACGCUGAUGUACGAAAGCGUGGGGAGCAAACGGGAUUAGAUACCCUGGUAGUCCACGCCGU
rnacentral:rRNA from 1 species